rnacentral:tRNA from 1 species
GCGCCUAUAGCUCAAUGGAUAGAAUACGGCCCUCCGAAGGCUGUGAUAGCAGUUCGACUCUGCUUAGGCGCGCCA